CGAACACAAAUUACUGGUACACACCCACAAGAGGGUUAUUGGAUUGGGCUGUCAGACAUCGUGUUUGAGGGGGACUGGCUAUGGACCUCGUCACAGACCUCGCCCUCCUACACAGACUGGUCCCCCACUAGUCCGAACAAUGCUGGACACCAUCAAGAUUGCGCCAUGUUUUAUGCACCAGAGAAUUUCCACUGGAAUGACCAUUACUGCACAGUAAAGGCAGCGUUCAUCUGUGAGAUGGAAGCACAAAUGGAGCCGGUAGAUGUCGUUGGAUAAAGAUCUUGUAUAAUGAACUAUACACUGUUCUAAAAGAAUAUCUUAUACAUUACAAAUCUGUGACCUCUU
rnacentral:misc_RNA from 1 species